CCUACGGGGUGCAGCAGUGGGGAAUAUUGGACAAUGGGCGAAAGCCUGAUCCAGCCAUGCCGCGUGUGUGAAGAAGGCCUUCGGGUUGUAAAGCACUUUCAGUGGGGAAGAAAGCCUUGGGGCUAAUACCCUCGAGGAAGGACAUCACCCACAGAAGAAGCACCGGCUAACUCCGUGCCAGCAGCCGCGGUAAUACGGAGGGUGCGAGCGUUAAUCGGAAUUACUGGGCGGAAAGCGCGCGUAGGCGGUCUGAUAAGCCGGUUGUGAAAGCCCCGGGCUCAACCUGGGAACGGCAUCCGGAACUGUCAGGCUAGAGUGCAGGAGAGGAAGGUAGAAUUCCCGGUGUAGCGGUGAAAUGCGUAGAGAUCGGGAGGAAUACCAGUGGCGAAGGCGGCCUUCUGGACUGACACUGACGCUGAGGUGCGAAAGCGUGGGUAGCAAACAGGAUUAGAUACCCCUGUAGUC
rnacentral:rRNA from 1 species